rnacentral:rRNA from 1 species
UACGUAGGGGGGCAAGCGUUUGUCCGGAUUUAUUGGGCGUAAAGAGCGUGUAGGCGGCCUUACAGGUCAGCUGUGAAAACUCGAGGCUCAACCUCGAGACGUCGGUUGAAACCGUAAGGCUAGAGUCCGGAAGAGGAGAGUGGAAUUCCCGGUGUAGCGGUGAAAUGCGCAGAUAUCGGGAAGAACACCCGUGGCGAAGGCGGCUCUCUGGGACGGUACUGACGCUGAGACGCGAAAGCGUGGGGAGCGAACAGG